UUAAUUUGAGAGUUUGAUCCUGGCUCAGGAUGAACGCUGGCGGCGUGCCUAACACAUGCAAGUCGAACGAAGCAUUUUAGAUGAAGUUUUCGGAUGGAUUCUGAGAUGACUGAGUGGCGGACGGGUGAGUAACACGUGGAUAACCUGCCUCACACUGGGGGACAACAGUUAGAAAUGACUGCUAAUACCGCAUAAGCGCACGGUACCGCAUGGUACAGUGUGAAAAACUCCGGUGGUGUGAGAUGGAUCCGCGUCUGAUUAGCCAGUUGGCGGGGUAACGGCCCACCAAAGCGACGAUCAGUAGCCGACCUGAGAGGGUGACCGGCCACAUUGGGACUGAGACACGGCCCAAACUCCUACGGGAGGCAGCAGUGGGGAAUAUUGCACAAUGGGCGAAAGCCUGAUGCAGCGACGCCGCGUGAGUGAAGAAGUAUUUCGGUAUGUAAAGCUCUAUCAGCAGGGAAGAUAAUGACGGUACC
rnacentral:rRNA from 2 species